ensembl:snRNA U6 U6 spliceosomal RNA
GUGCUCCCUUCAGCAGUCCCUAUACUAAAACUGGAAUGAUACAGACAAGAUUAGCAUGGCCCCUGCACAAGGAUGACACUCAAAAUAUUCCCAAUGCAGAAACUUCUA